AAAGAACGCUCGCGGCAUGCCAAACACAUGCAAGUCGAACGAGAUCUUCGGGUCUAGUGGCGCACGGGUGCGUAACGCGUGGGAUCUGCCCUUUGGUUCGGAAUAACAGUUGGUAACGACUGCUAAUACCGGAUGAUGACGAAAGUUCAAAGAUUUAUCGACAGAGGAUGAGCCCGCGUAGGAUUAGCUAGUUGGUGUGGUAAAGGCGCACCAAGGCGACGAUCCUUAGCUGGUCUGAGAGGAUGAUCAGCAACACUGGGACUGAGACACGGCCCAGACUCCUACGGGAGGCAGCAUUGGGGAAUAUUCGACAAUGGGCUAAAACCUGAUCCAGCAGUGCCGCGUGAGUGAUGAAGGCCUUAGGGUUGUAAAGCUCUUUUACCCGGGAUGAUAAUGACAGUACCGGGAGAAUAAGCUCCGGCUAACUCCGUGCCAGCAGCCGCGGUAA
rnacentral:rRNA from 1 species